rnacentral:rRNA from 1 species
AGCAUGCCCCCGAAUUAUCCGGGCUACACGCGGGCUACAAUGGUCAGGACAAUGGGCAUCAACACCGAAAGGUGAAGGCAAUCUCUUAAACCUGUCCUUAGUUCGGAUUGUGGGCUGCAACUCGCCCACAUGAAGCUGGAAUCUGUAGUAAUCGCGUCUCAAAAUGGCGCGGUGAAUAUGUCCCUGCUCCUU